GUGAUCCUAGUGUACGUUAUCGCGCUAAGGAUCAGACUGUAAAUAUCGAGAGGAGGAACUAGAGCAUCUACAAGUGACUUAAAAAAAGCAAACGAACAUCUUAAACAUAAAACUAGAUGAGAAACAACGAGCACGUUUACGCGGACGGCGGUGAUCUAAUCACGGACCUUAUUCUGAAUAAGACGUAUGAUAUCGUGAUUAAGGUGUUUACACGAGGCGCUUUUAGAAUACUCCUUUCAUGUUCCCGUGUCACGUGUUAUAGAACGUAGACGGAUUAACGGCACACGUCAUUACGUCCCCGCGCCACGCCGUCCGACGUCCCUCCGGAAUUUCACGUAUCGACGUACAGUCGGUCUUCGUUAUGGGACCGUAUACAGUUCUGGGUGUUUUUAUUUUUAAUUUUAUGAAAGCUUCGAGUGCGGUUAAUUAUUUGUCGUGCUGUACGUGCAGAUAGACGACCGCUUGAAGCCGUGGGCUGCGUCCCGAACCGUGUACAUACCGUCUAUAUAUAAGCCUAUAUUAGGUAAGGACGCGGUUUGGGACGCAGCCGUGCUCUCUCGUCGAGCGCUGGCGUGUGUGAUCGUGUCCUGUCGCACGAUGCGGUGAAAACUCUCGCACGACGUUAAUAGCGUGAUUAAGGCGUGUACACGUCUGUAACGCACGUCGAUAACGCGACUAAAACAGGAAUACUCCACACGUCUUCAUUCCAUCUGUGUUUACUCCGAGUGUGACUUUAAUCAGAUUAAGGUCAUCGAGAAUCUCCGUUUACAUGCUAGUGUCGUAAUCAGAGUAUCGUCUUAAUCGGGUUCGUAUGGGAUUAUCGUCGUCCGUGUGAGCGCACUGAGUGUCUACAGAUGAUGCCUGGUCUGUUCGAGUACGUUGUUCUUGAUGAGCGGAUAUUGGUCAUCGCUAUUCCAUCUACGCUAAUUAAGUCAACUAGCUAAUGUGCUUCAUGUUAAAUCGCUCGCUAACGUUAUGAGGUCCGUGGUGCUUUUUCGUAUCCGACAUUUAAGUCAGGAAACAUAAACACGGAUGUUCAGCGACGUCCCUGACUGAUUAAGAAUGAGUUUUGGUAUCGACGAGUCCUAAAAAGUUGUCAUCGAUGCGUCCCUGAUUUAAUCUCAGUUUAGUUUCCUACACCGAAUACGCCAGGUCUCCGCGAGUCUGAGGGCUAACGUGUUCUUCCUCCGAGACACAAGACGUCUUGCUUGUGUUACAUCACACCACAGGGCAGCUCAACACGCUCGGAGGAGACACCAACCGGCCUCGUUUAUGACUGGGAGAGAGAGUAACGUCGUUUCUUAUCCGAAGCGCAGGAGAGUUAAAGCUCUCUUCGACUCCGAAAGCCUGUUGGGAACGUUGGGAUUCUUGAGGAGUUUUUUUUCUUGGAAAAUAUUUUUAAAAUGUAAUAAAAUGACAGACAAGCUGAAACAGUCUCAGGAUAACCGUACAAAGCCGAGGAGAACGGUGACUAUGAGGGGAACAGUUUGAGAAGCGCUCCCUCUAAUACUACGGGAUGUUGUAGAUUAGUGUGUUAAAGACAAAGUCGUUGUUCUGCUUCACGUAUGCAACAAUUAUGACGGUGAAACGAACGAAAGCUUUUUUUUGUUGGAUAAAGCGGUCAUAAAAGUGCGUCGUUUCCUCUACACAAUCUCCAUUUCCUUCGAUACAAGUUCUCCCAUUUCUGUCACAGGGGAUUUGAACACACAACCUUCUAAUCUGUAACUUAAAGCCCGAUCAGCUGAGCCACAACGACUAGCUCGAGUAGACACCACUGUAAGUCAUUAUUUUUAAAUCAUUGACCAGACUGUGUUAUUUUAUACUAUGUAGGAUAUUAUAAUACUUUACUGUAAAUGUACCUGUAAAAACUCUUUGUAAAAAAUAAAAAAUAAAAUCACAGUAUUUUUUUCUACAGUACACUUAAGGGUUUUGAUUUGACUUCCCCUCAUAAACCAGUAAUUCGGUCCCUGCAGGAUUGGGCGAGUUUGCGAUCGUAGAAAUUCAAAAUCAGACAAACGCCGCAACAUUCAGAGGAGCUUUCAAUUUCUCGAAAUGACUGCAGGUUCACGUGCGUUGAACACGAGUACAGCUGAAAGCUCUCGUUCACAGACAAACAUCACUGCGAAAGACCGUGCAAAACAAUUUUGUGCGAUUUCGCCAAUUCAAGUCGUUUUCCGACAAAAAAAAAAGCACAAAAACUCCAUCACGCGUUUUGCAAAAAGUCUCAGCUUUUGGCUUCAACAGUCACAGAAAUAACCUCAGUGAAAUCCUGUACGGACCGGUAAUUCAAAACGUGAGACUCGGGACAUCGUCUCUCAUCGCCUCUCUUUUUCAAACCCCAGCGUUAGGUAGACUGGUUUCACCCACACUUCCACGAUCUGGACACGAGGAAAACAUACCAACGUACAAAACUCCACACAGGAUCGAACUCUGGAGCUGUGAGGCGUCAUUUUUAACGAACACAUGAACUUUAUUAAUAAACCAAAUCUCUCAGUUUCCUAACAGUGGGUUUCUGAGAGAACUGUAACUAAAGAAUAAAAAUAUUUUUAAAAGUGAUGAUAUAUUUCACAAAGACAAAAGCCUAAUUAAGUGACGUAAGACAAUUUUUUAGGUUGAAGAGGUUCAGCUGAUGAUAUGGUUCCAGUGGUUUACUAAUUAAAUUCUGUUUAAAGCGACGCUUCAGUAAAGUUGACGCUCUGAGAUUACACGUUCUGUAUGAAGUUCCUUUAAACCCUCACACGUGGUUCUCCUGAGGCACCGCAUAGAGCACAAACUGCACCACUAAUAAAGGAUUUAUGAGGGUUGGCACGUCGGCGUCUCAGGAGUUCAACAGCACCACACAGUGGUCACGACGCGUAACUGCAACCACAGGAACAAAUGAACACAGAAAUAAAUAAAUUACGAAUAAAAAUGUUUUAAUCAUCACUUCAGACCAGUUUUAAAAAAAAACAAACAAACACCAAACAAUCCAUGUAUUUACAUUCAUGUGUUCUUCUUUCAUGUUUUGUUCCUCAUAUUUAUAUACAUAUAUAUUUACAUACAAUAUUUACAGAAAGGUUCAUGGGGGUGGGGUGGGGUGGGGGGGGGGUAUAAGAAAAACAAUAAAGACAAUAACAACACCAAUAUGAGUCUUAUUAAUAUUGUGAAUGAUUAAUUAUUAAUAAUACGGACAGUGUAACGUAUAUUUUUAUAUAAAUCUGUAUGUACAUGGCGAGUGGAGAACGAACCGAAGACGAGACGCGACACAAAUAAUAUCCACUGUUAAAUAAUUUAAGUGUAAACUGAGGUGUUAAGUGUGGUUACAAGUUCCAUAUAAAAAAAAAGUCUGAAGAGUAGAAACAUCUCACACACACACACACACACACACACACACACACACACACACACACAGAAGUAAAGCUCAUUUAAUCAACCUCGUUAAGCAACAAUUACACACCUACGCAACCCAGAACCCGCUCUAAACGCUCUGUUAGAAUGUCUCAGCUACUGCUCCAGUACCAGAACCUGCUGUAAACGUUCUGACGAAAUAUCCAAGCUACUGUUCUAGAACCGGUACUCUGUCAAAUAUCCUGUUAGAAUGUCUGAGAUAUGAUUCCGGAACGAUGACCCACUUUAAACGUUCUGCCUCUGAAAUAUCCGAGCUACCAUUCUAGAACCAACACCGGUUAAAACCACCUUUCGGAAUGUCUGAGAUCCUGCACUAGAACCAGAACCCACUCUAAACGUCCUGGCAUAACUACUAAACUACUAGAACCAGACCCUGCUCUAAGUAUUCUGUUGAAAUAUCCAAGCUACUCUUCUAGAACCAUCUAGGGAUCUAGAAUUCGACUCAUUAAAAUGUCUCAGUUUCUGAUCUAGAACCAGAACCGAUGCUGUGACUACUGUUGUAUUAAUCAAGGACUCGAACUCUAUCUGACGUCCUGACUGGUGAGCUGAAGGCUCUACAGCACUAACACCAACUGUUCUAAACAUCCUAUCAGAGGGUCUGGAAAAUGUCCCAGCUACUGUUCUAGAACCCGAAAACAACAAUGUUGUAAAUGUUCUUUUUGAACUACUGUCCUAGAAUCAAAACGGACUCCUUCAUAAACAUUUAAACUGCUGUUCUAGAACUAGAACCAACACUGUUCUAAACACACUGUUCAAAUCAUUAAGCUACUGCUACAGAAUCCUAACCAUCUAACACCCUACAGUGUCCGAGCUGACGUUCCAUCCAUCAGAAGGUCUGAGCUACCUUUCUAGACUGCUGUUCCAGAACUAGAACCAACACGGUUCUAAACACCCUCUUCAAACAGACUCUUUUCAGUUCUAGUGCCGUAACGAUCGAACACUUUAAACGUCUGAGCGGACGUUCCGUCCCAUCAGAAGGUCCGAGCUACUGCAACGGGGGUAACAGGAGAACCGACUCUGUUCCAACCAUCAAGUUCCUAAUCUUUGUGCUAUCAUUCUAGAACCUGAACUGACUCCAUUCUGUCAUAAAAUCAUCUAACAUUCUAAAAUGUCUGUGCUGUUGCUCUGUCCCAUCUAUCUCUCUAGAAAUAGAACCGACUCUAAACAUCCCGUCAAAUCUUUACGCUACGGUUCUAGAACCUAAACCGGCUCCGUCCUGUUCUAGAAUCCUAAGAGUCUAACACUGGGAACGGAGCUGAUCCGAGCUACUUUUCCAGACUCCGUUCUAAUCGUCCCGUUAAAAACUUCUGAGCGGUUAGAACCGCACGCUCAGACGCAGAACCAGCUGAAACGUGUUUGUGUGAAAAUAGAUCGAGUGUAGUGAAGAGCGAGCGUUCCCCCGUUAUUUACUUCAUGAAAGCCUUAAAAAAAGUAAGAAGACGUUGGUGUUUUUUUUUUUGUUGGGUUUUUUUCAGUCAAGCUUACAAAGACACUCCUGCACUCCUACAGCCUGGAGGAGAAAGCCGCGCGCGAGACGUCUGAUUAAUGAGAUUAGAUGACGGUUUUAUCCUUCACUUUUCGUCUCUCCUUCCUUCUUUCGUGCAUGGUUCAAAAGUGUCCACUUUAGAAGGAAACGUGAGAACAAAGCCGCUCUGAUGAUCUGAUGAAGACCGACAGCACCACGCCGUGCCGCCCGGCUCUAAAUACCCAAGAUGCCAAGUAUCAGAUGACACUUUUCUUCCGAAGCAUAAUGCGUUUUGUUUAGGCGUCGCUCACGAAGGACAAGCAGCGCUAAAACUUUCAGACCGGUGAAAUAAAUAGUAGAAGCUGACCUUAGGGACAGCUAGAGACAUUAGUGUUGUAUUGUGCAGAAGGGCUGGGCGGCAUCGAUACUGUGAUAUAUGAACAUCACGAUACACUUGAGUAUCGAGUACAGGGUGCACCGUCACACACCCCAACAAGUUCAUCCUAGAUCUUUUUUUUUUUAUCACGAGGUCCAGAAAUAUCACAGUAUUGACAGAAUAAACGCAUUUUCCAUUUCGCCCUGAUAAAUGACCAUGAGAAGGAGAAGAAACCCAUCAGAAGAAGGAUAAUAAUAAUAAUAAUAAUAAUGAUAAUGAUAAUAAUAAAACCUUUCCUGUUGCAAUAGGACUCUUCUUCAAUGUGCAGGAUUGCUGACACUUCUAGUCUUCUAGUCUUCCUAACUAAAAAUGUCUUGUGAUUGUACACAAACAGGGUACACCUUCAAAUCUGUACAGCUUUUGUCUGGUUUACAAAACAACAACAACAACAACAACAUUCCUCACAUUCCCUGCCUACCUCUGACUCCUCCUACCUCUCCCUAGCAGGCUUUGUGAUUGGCUGCCUCAGCAGACGGACAGGGUGGGCGGGCUCUGUCUCUGCUGUGUUUUUUUCAGCAGUUGGAUGCGGUUGUGGCAGUAGAACUUGAUGGCUCUCCAGUCCCUGCGGUUGGUGACCAGGAGUGGACACUGCUCCAGACAGCGCUCGCAGUCUGCUUUAGCGGGGACGCGCAGCUCCAUGAUGUUCCGCACCAGGUGGGACUCCACCGCGGCCCGCUCUGCCUCGGACCACGGACGCUUCAGGACGCCGCGCUUGCCUGACGGACGGAGGAAGAGAAGGAGAAACGGAUAUAGAGUGUAGCGAUGCAAUGACAGGAGAGAAACGGAGGGCACAGACAAAGAGUGAAACAUGGAGAAUGAAGGGAAAUGGAGAGAGCGUGAGAGAGAGAGAGAGUGAAAGAAGACAAAGAGACAAGGAGUGUAACAGUGAGAGAAAGAAAUGAAGGAAGAAAAAGAGGGAGAGAGAGGGGGAGUAAAGAAAACAGAAAGAGUGAAGCAGUAAGCAAGAGAGUAAGAAUAAAUAGAGGAAGUGAGAGAUACAGAAAGAGAAAUGAAGGAAGGAAAUGAAGAAAAAAAAAGAAAAGAAAGGAAGGAAGGAAGAAAAAAGAAAGAUAGAAAGAAAUUAAAGAAAGGAAGGAAGAAAGAAAGAAAGGAUGGAAGUAAACGUAAGAAAGGAAAUAAAGAAAGGAUGGAAGAAAGAAAGAAAGGAAUGGGAGAAGACAGAAUACGUGAGAAAAACAGAGAGAAACAAAGGAAAAGGAAAAACAAAAAUGAAAAGAGAGAGAGAGAAAUGGUAAAGAAGAGAGAAAGAGAAAAAUAGAGGAAGGGAGAAAGAUAAAGGAAGAAAGAGGAGAACAGACACAGGCAGAAAAAAGUUAAUGAAAGGUAGAGAGAGCGACAUAUCGAAGGACAGACAGAUAACGAGAGAAAGACAGGUGAGUCGCAGAGCAGUGAAACAGAGAGUUAGAGAAAGUAGAAGAGAGAUAGAGGAGAAAGAGAGAUGAAGGACAGCCAGAUAGAGGAUGUGUUAAUCAUUGGUCAUUCGCAAACACCACAAACACAGAGAGGGAGCUGUUAGAAAAUAAUCUGCAGUACACACACACAUACACACACAUACACACACGCGCACACACACAUACACACACAUACACACACAUACACAUACACACACAUACACACACAUACACACACACACACAUACACACACAUACACACACAUACACACACAUACACACACAUACAUACACACACAUACACACACAUACACACACAUACACACACAUACACACACAUACACACACACACGCGCGCACACACACACACACGCGCGCGCACACACACACACACACACACACACACGCGCGCACACACAUACACACGCGCACACACAUACACACACACAUACACACACACACAUAUACACACAUAUACACAAACACACACACACCUGGUUUGGGCUGUCCUGAACCCCUCUUGCGGUUGGGAGAGAAGGGAGAGCCGCUCAUCUUCUUCAGACGAGGGGGUCUGGUGAUGUUGCUGCUGGAGGACUUUUUAAUCAUGAUGGUAGGAGACUCGCUCUUAUCCUUCUCUUGCUCUCCAUCUGAUUCCUCCGACAACGAAUCUGCAGAAUUCCCUGACAUCACUGCUCACACACACACACACACACACACGAACACAAACACAAACACAAUUGCAAAGUUUAACCUUCAGUACAGUUAAAUGAUUCUGUAAUUUUAUUAUAUAUUAAUAUUCCCAGAUUCAAUAUAAGGAAUAUUCCAAUAAAACAGAAUAAAAUGAAAUGAAGAGAGAGAGAGAGAGAGAGAGAGAGAGAGAGAGAGAGAGAGAGAGAGAGAGAGAGAGAGAGUGAGAAAACACACUUGUAAUGGCUUGGAAUUAUUCUUUAAUAUUUCUAAGAAAACUCGGGCCUUUGUGGAUUUAAUAUAAACAUAUUGGGUUCUUUUCCCUUAUUUUGUUCAGUGUGAGUAAUCUCACACACACACACACACACACACACACUCACCAUCCAGCUCUAAACAGAUAUGAUGGAGACUCAUUCCUCGGAACAGUACGCCGUCUCUCUCCCCGCACAGCACCACGCGCCCAAUCAGUCCCAUGAGCCCCGGAUCCUGGCCGAUAGCGGCGCAGCUCUGGGUCACAUGGUACUCUUUCUGGAGGAAGUUCUCUAAUCUCUGCUGUGCGGCUCCGCGAUGUCCAUCCUCUUCUCCUUCGCUCAGCAUCAGUAACUGAGUAAGGAUGGCGACUUGUCUACGGACGCGUGUUUGCGUCAGCGCCCUCGGGUGGCGGGUCCCGCUGGAUUUGGCCAGGUUUCGGAGCAGAUCGGUACCUCGCAGAGGAGUGGCGGGAGAAUGGUAUGGCCGAGCGAACACAAACGGGUUCUGGGGAUCCACCCCGACUCCUGCCCUAGUCUGUAAAAGAAGCUCCAGGCAAUGUUCAGAGUGAGGGGGCAGAAUCAGGGGCUGCACCCUUCCUCGUUUGCCCUGGACGCCCACUCGAGGGAGAUGGGGAAGGACAAGUCUCUCAAAGGGGGAAAGGGAGGCUUCGAGGGGUGUAAGAGCGCUGGGGGACAACGGGGCAGAGAAGCAUGGAGAUGAGGCAAGUGGGCGGAGCCUUGCGAUUUUAACAUGGCUGCACGUACGUCUGGUUGGUGGACGUGGUGUUUGUCUAGAUGGCGCAGGAGAGAGCGGUAAUGGCGGCCGCAGUAUACACAACACUGCUUGUGCAUCAUAGGGCUCAUGCCUCUACCUGCGCUGACAUUAACGGUGCUGCCCCCUACUCCGGCGGGGGCGGGGCAUUUAAACACAGGCCUGGAUGGUGCAGGAGGCUGAGGGGGACACAAGGGCAGGGAGUGGGGCAGAGGCUGUGACGGAGGUCGACCCGGUGGCCGGUGAGGCGGGGGAUGAGGCGGUUUCCUCUUAGAGUCGUUAGAGUUAGCAUUAGCGUUAGCCGCGGCCGAAGAGGACAGUUUGCGAUGCUUUUUGCGGCGACGGGGUGUCCGGCUGCGCGGCUCUGCAUCGUCCGAAUCGCUGAGCUCUGAGUGAGAGAGCUGAGAGGAUUUAGGAGAGAGAGACCAGGAUGGAGUGACAUAAUCUGAAACGGGACCAGACCCAGACUCCUCCUCCUAAACAGAAUGAGAGACAGAGCGACAGAGAGAGAGCGACAGAGAGACAGAGAGAGAAAGAGAGAGAGUACACUUACAUGUAUAAAAAAAAAA
ensembl:lncRNA